UACGUAGGCAGCGAGCGUUGUUCGGAGUUACUGGGCGUAAAGGGUGCGCAGGCGGCGUCGCAAGUCAGGCGUGAAAUCCCCGGGCUUAACCUGGGAACUGCACUUGAAACUACGAUGCUGGAGUAUGGCAGAGGGAGGUGGAAUUCCGCGUGUAGCAGUGAAAUGCGUAGAUAUGCGGAGGAACACCGAUGGCGAAGGCAAUCCCCUGGGCCUGCACUGACGCUCAUGCACGAAAGCGUGGGGAGCAAACAGG
rnacentral:rRNA from 1 species